rnacentral:rRNA from 1 species
CAAUCAUAAAAGGUGGCUUUYAGCUACCACUUACAGAUGGACCCGCGGCGCAUUAGCUAGUUGGUGAGGUAACGGCUCACCAAGGCGACGAUGCGUAGCCGACCUGAGAGGGUGAUCGGCCACACUGGGACUGAGACACGGCCCAGACUCCUACGGGAGGCAGCAGUAGGGAAUCUUCCGCAAUGGACGAAAGUCUGACGGAGCAACGCCGCGUGAGUGA